rnacentral:rRNA from 1 species
UACGUAGGGAGCAAGCGUUGUUCGGAUUUACUGGGCGUAAAGGGCGCGUAGGCGGCCUGUCAAGUCCACUGUGAAAUCUCCGGGCUUAACUCGGAACGGUCAGUUGAUACUGUCAGGCUAGAGUGCAGAAGGGGCAAUCGGAAUUCUUGGUGUAGCGGUGAAAUGCGUAGAUAUCAAGAGGAACACCUGAGGUGAAGACGGGUUGCUGGGCUGACACUGACGCUGAGGCGCGAAAGCCAGGGGAGCAAACGGG